AUUAUUCUACUCCUCUCCUGCAGUCAAAUUUUAAUCAAUAAAAUUUCUCCCAAUCCUACUACCAUUCAGUUUUCUCCAGUAUCUUAUCUCCUUAAAAAUCUCCAACCAAUUACUCUAUUUUAACUCAAUUUAUACAUCUCCUCCCAUAAUCUCAACAAACCGCCGUUCCUGCAGUUCUUCAUUGAAGAGUGUGGAGGAGAAAGCCAGAGAGUUGUGAUCUUUUUUUCAAUACCUUCUCUUCUGCAAGUUCUGCUUCUUCCGCGAAGGGUGAACUUGUGCACGUUGUUGCGGUUUGGAACAAGAAAGUGUUGAGGAGUUAAGCUUUUGAGUCAAAUUUUAAUCAAUAAAAUUUCUCCCAAUCCUACUACCAUUCGGUUUUCUCCAGCAUCUUAUCUCCUUAAAAAUCUCCAACCAAUUACUCUAUUUUAACUCCAUUUAUACAUCUCCUCCCACAAUCUCAACAAACCGCCGUUCCUGCAGUUCUUCAUUGAAGAGUGUGGAGGAGAAAGCCAGAGAGUUGUGAUCUUUUUUUUUCAAUACCUUCUCUUCUGCAAGUUCUGCUUCUUCCGUGAAGGGUGAACUUGUGCACGUUGUUGCGGUUUGGAACAAGAAAGUGUUGAGGAGUUAAGCUUUUGAGAUUGAGCGGCGAUGGAUGUGGAGGAUGUUGAGCAGAGUUCAUGGAUUGUUUUGUCAUGAUUAAUAAAUGUUGGAUUUGUCGUGUCUUCAUACUCGGCAUUUUCCGUGUCUUGAACGCUUCCACUAAGAGUCCUUUUCAUUAGAAUUGUUUAUUUGUGGAGAGUCUAACUCGUUUAAAAAUUGUUUAUUUUCUAUUCUUUAUUUACUUAGAGUUGGUAUUAUUGUUAGGAUAAUAUUAUGACGUUUUCAAAGUUAAUUCA